AACGCUGGCACAGGGGAAAACUUCUAUUGCUAAGCUGGGAUUGGCCACUUUAGCAAUUAGUUCUGCUUGGGACUGUCUGUUAGUAUCUUUGGUAUAGAAAAAAAAAAACUUUAAAAGACAGUCUGAAGACUAAUCCCAGGUGUGCACCUAUUUGAGCAGCUCUUGAGAUGGAAACUUUUAUCCCUCAAGCUACAGCAUUGGAGAGCUUCUAAAGAUACAGAACACUGGGAUCCAUACCCAGACCUACUGACCAGAUGCCUCCAUAAGUCCCCGAAGGAAUAUCAUUUGGCAGCCACUGAUAUAGGGUAAAUAACAUGAAGGUCUGUCUUCCCAGUUAGCUAAAUUCUAC
rnacentral:lncRNA from 1 species